rnacentral:lncRNA from 1 species
GAAAAGUCGAAGUUUUAAGACUAUCAUAUUUUUUAGGCAAUCCUGGCCAUUGUUGACUCUGCGCUUGUCCACCAGAUGACGUCACUGCUGCUGGCCGCCAUACCCAGUGGCCCUUCAUAGGAUCACCUUAUUAAGCACCAUUUAGCACUGGCUAUGGUGAUGACUUCUGACUUCUAACAAGCAACUACUCACUGUCACAGGAACGUAUCGUGGAACUGUCAGCCGUAGUGUUUAGACCCGUAUCGUUCUGGCUGAGGAUUUUUUGCUGUUGUCUGUGUUUGUGUUGUGAGUCUUCUUCGUAGAAAAGCUCGUGGGUACGUAAUUUUCCACAUCAUUAUUCCAGUAGCGUGGCGUGCUUUGCAAUAAAUCGAUUGAUCUGCCAUUUAAACCUGUGAAAAAGGAUCGAUAGACAGGGUAUACCUAAGCCUAAGGUAUACCAGGGUAACAUUUUAAUAAUUGGACAUAAUUCUGCCAAACGGAA